CCAACAGGGAUUGCCUCAGUAACGGCGAGUGAAGCGGCAACAGCUCAAAUUUGAAAUCUGGCCCCCUCGGGGUCCGAGUUGUAAUUUGUAGAGGAUGUUUCGGGCGCGGCGCCGGUCUAAGUCCCUUGGAACAGGGCGUCACAGAGGGUGAGAAUCCCGUACGUGACCGGCGACCAACCCCAUGUGAAACCCCUUCGACGAGUCGAGUUGUUUGGGAAUGCAGCUCAAAAUGGGUGGUAAAUUUCAUCCAAAGCUAAAUAUCGGCCAGAGACCGAUAGCGCACAAGUAGAGUGAUCGAAAGAUGAAAAGCACUUUGGAAAGAGAGUCAAACAGUACGUGAAAUUGUUGAAAGGGAAGCGCUUGCAACCAGACCUGUCCGCCGGCGAUCAGCCUCCGUUCUCGGUGGUGCACUCGCCGGCGAUCAGGCCAGCAUCGGUUCGGACGGUGGGAUAAAGGCCUUGGGAAUGUGGCUCCCUUCGGGGAGUGUUAUAGCCCUCGGUGCAAUGCCGCCAGCCCGGACCGAGGACCGCGCUUCGGCUAGGAUGCUGGCGUAAUGGUUGUAAGCGACCCGUCUUGAAACACGGACCAAGGAGUCUAACAUCUAUGCGAGUGUUUGGGUGUCAAACCCAUACGCGUAAUGAAAGUGAACGGAGGUGAGAACCCUGAAGGGCGCAUCAUCGACCGAUCCAGAUGUCUUCGGAUGGAUUUGAGUACGAGCAUAGCUGUUGGGACCCGAAAGAUGGUGAACUAUGCCUGAAUAGGGUGAAGCCAGAGGAAACUCCGGUGGAGGCUCGCAGCGGUUCUGACGUGCAAAUCGAUCGUCAAAUUUGGGUAUAGGGGUAAGUCUCACGUUUCCUUUCCGGGCUGCCUUUCAGGCGGCUGUUAGAACUAAUCAGAUAUGGAAUAAAAGCUAAUAUUUGUUUUCAGGCGAAAGACUAAUCGAACCAUCUUUUUUUUCGCUUGCUAGGUGGUUAAAAAGGGUAUCUGGUCGGCUCUAAGCCGAUCUGCCCUCAGUCCUACGGGGCGACAUUACUAUUUGCAUGAAUACCCGACGCCACAGCGUACCGUGGUUGAUAUGCAGCAGUCAGACUCUGACAGGAAGUUUCCUGUUCACAGACCAAAUAGUGGUGGCCGGGGAGUCUUAAGCGCUCUGGUUUAGACAUGGCCGGGUCCUACUCGUUAGUCGAGUUGGCUUUAAGGGGGUUCUCGUACCUUUUUAAGGCCGUAGGUUUUCACGCUAGUAGCUGGUUCCUGCCGAAGUUUCCCUCAGGAUAGCAGUAACGUUUUCAGUUUUAUGAGGUAAAGCGAAUGAUUAGAGGCCUUGGGGUUGAAACAACCUUAACCUAUUCUCAAACUUUAAAUAUGUAAGAAGUCCUUGUUACUUAGUUGAACGUGGACAUUUGAAUGCACCGUUACUAGUGGGCCAUUUUU
rnacentral:rRNA from 1 species